CGAGUGACACGCAUUAGUAGACAAGCUUCAAUCUCAUUCGCCAUUCACCCUUUCACCUCCCGCCCAUCACUGAGACAACAAAGGAUUACGUUUAAGCGUUUAAGUGUUUUUAAAAAUCAGUUUUUAAAAAUCAGUUUUUUUUUUAAAAAGUACUAAUGAACUUGCUGACCGACGGGUUUAAAAUCACGACUUGAAACAGGUAAGACAAAAGUGUACAUUUAAUUUCCUCAUAUGUUAUUUCAGAAAACCACGUUUUAUCGGACGCAUUUGCUGAAAAAUUGAAGAGUGAUUUCAAUUAUGGGAUUUGUUUGCGAUUUCAACUUUAACUAGUAUAAUGCUAACACGAAAAAUGGUUUGAUGUAAUCAAAAUAAACCCCUUGUCUUUUCUAUAAGAACUUACUAUUCCAAGAUUUAACUAGGAAAGGUCACUUUAAUGGAGAAGGCAUGAAAUAACAUGGAUGCAAAUAUUUUAUUUGAAACAAAAUAUUUGAACAAAAGGUAAUCAAUAUGUUAGUAACUUAUAUAUUUUUAUAUAUUAAUAUGAAAAUAAAUUAAUGUAGAAUUAUCUAUGGGUUGGAAAUAAAAAAAAAAUGCCUAAAAUCAUACAGUUACAAUUCACCAAAUCUCAUAAAUUUAACAACUGCAAUGAAAGUAUCAAACUCACUAUUAAAAAAUGUGUUAUAAUAUAAUGUAAUAUAAACAUUAUGAUACAUAAUAUUAUAUUAGGUUAGGUAUAGAAAUAAUCAUUAGUUUAAAGGUAUUUAUGUGUAGUAUAACAAUUAAAAUAAUGGAGAAGGCAUGAAAUAAAAUUAAUACUAACAUUUUAUUUGAGACAUAGUAUUUUAAUAAAAGGUAAUCAAUAUUUUAGUAACCAGCUAUCUAUAUAUUUUUAUAUAUUAAUACCUAUAAAAAUUAAUUAAUGUAAAAUUAUUUAUGGAAAUUAAAAAAAUAAUUAACUUCCCAAAAUCAUACAGUUACAACUACCCUAUAUUAUAAAUAUAACAACAACUAUGAAAGUUUAAAAUUUAUUUCAUAAAAAAUUAAGAAAAACUCCAUACUAUUAUUAUUAUAAAUUUACAUUUCAAUGUUUGGUACUUGACUAUUAAAAUUUCAAAAAUAAUUAUUAUUUAAAAGAACUGGCCUUUUUAAUGUACUCAUUUGUCACAUUUGUGACUUCACUAUUUAACUUUUUUUCACAGAAUUGUUCCAAAUACAUUCUUAAGUGACACCACGUCGCCCGAUUUUAAAGGGUUGAAAUCGGUAGUAAUACAUUAGAGAAAAAAUAAAAAUAAAUAAUUAAAUAAGUCACAUUGUUUUACCAACUAUAAAAAACCACGAGAUGGCACUUUAUUAUAUCUUAUUCACCAUACUAAAAAAAUUGAUUUAAUUUAGAAACUUAAAGGUUAGAAAUUAUAAACUUACAUACACAUCUUACGGGGUAUGGUAUCCACCUGAUAAUAUACUGUUUGCAUAAUCAUAAGAGUCUCACGGCCAACGCCAAGUGGAAUGACUUUAAUACAACCUGACUAACUCAAAUUCUGAACGAAGUGAUGAAUGUAUUGAUUUUUCAAAGAUGUGUGUUUUGUGUGUGUGUGUACAGCAUAACUUGUCAAAAUAAUGCUUCAAUUUCAAAUUUUGGGGGUAAUUUCCGAUGGCAAAGUGAAUAUAUCCUUGGUUAAUUAUAGAUGUCAAAAGUGUAUACUUUCCAACAGUUUUCAAAAAAGUCGAUUAUUUUAUAUGGCUGUAAUUCAAAAAUGAAUCACUGUAAAUACUUGAAAUUUUCACCAAAUGUUUAUAUUAGUGUUAUCUAUGUACAGAUAAACUUUCAAAAUAUUUAGAAUUUUUGAGCUAUUUUUUGACAACUGAAAUUUUCGAUUUUUCUAAGAAAUUUUUUUUGAAGUGAUAAAAAAAUUUUGGAUGUCCAAAAAACUUGAUAAUUUAAUGCAAGUUUCCUUAUGAAUUGUUAUUAUUGUAGUGUAGUUAAAAAAAUCAAAAAUUAUUAGUCACAAUUUUUUAUGUUAGGGUUUAUAGUUCAAAUCUACGAAAUAUGUCAAAAAUUUUAAAAUUUGAAAGUAAUUUUGAAGUUGAUAAAUCAUACAAUUUUCGUGUUUAUAUCUUAUGUUAAAAAAUUUAACAAUAAAUUUUCCUUCAAAUAGCUAUAAAGAAAAAUUGAAGCAUCAUCAUAGGACAAAUUUUAAGUGCAUUUGAAUUCGAAAUUUUUACAAAAUUUAAAAACAUUUUGCUUAUUUUAAAGUUAUUUAUAGACAUUUGAAAUAUUGAUAUAUAUUAUAUAUAUUCAAAAUGCUUGAAGAUUUAAUACUAAGUUUCUCAUAAGUUAUUUUUAUAUUCACAAAAAUUUGUCAAAAUCAUUUGGUAGGUAUAAUUAAUAAAAUUGUUUUGUAUAAAUAGCUAAUAGUUGAACAUUUAAUGCAAAAUUUUCCAUAAGUUUGGCUAACAAUAAUUAUAAAAGAACUUAAAUUAUGGUUUAUUCAGGCCAUUUAAACAUAAACCACUUUUUAAACCAACUACUGGAAAUUAUAUCCAAGGCUGACAAAUCAUCUUUGUUCAGAAUCAUUUUUCCUAUACAAUGAUACCUAACAUUGGAUUCAAAUUUAAUACAUCAAUUAUAGUGACCUACUAUAUAGCAGAGCGUUACUAACUCGACCACUAAUUUUUAAACUAGGAAAAUAUUUAAGACAAACUACAUAGUAGUUUAUAGUAUUGUGUAUUUCGGUAAUAAUUAACAGUUUAUAUUAUAUAUAAAAAAUUUAAUAAAUUAAGAUUAAAAUUGCAACCCUUUGAAGUUAGUUUCAUAUUUUCUUAUUCGUCUAGAACCCACUUUAAAUUAAACAAAAUGUUAUAUUUGACCUUAUUAUAUUGAGAGAAAACUAAAAUCGAUAUAAUUGUUGUAAGCUCUAAUAAUUUGGCAAAAAUAAAAAAAAAUAAAAUUAUAUUUUUAUAUUUUUUGUUGGCUUAAUAUAGAGACAUACCUAAUAAUUAUACAAUAAAUGAUAAAUUAAAAGAAGUGACACUUAGGUAAGGUUAAGUUAAAUUUAGUCAAAUUUUUUUUUUACUUAUUGUAUUAAAGUUAUUUGUUAUGGAUGACAAAAAAAUUAUAUAAGAGUUAUUCUUCAAGCAUUAUUUGGACCAAUAAAAAUAAGAUAUAUAUAUUAGUAUAUAAUAUUUAAUUAGUGAAAUACAAAAUUGUACAGUUUAAAAAAACAAUUUGUAACAUCUUAUAGAUAUAUUUUAUUCUUAUAAAAAUAAACAGUGACAAUAUUA